UACUAGCUCUACUACUAAUUGAUUGUACUAAAUAAUUAAUUUAUAUGUAUCAGGCUUUAUUCCCAUCUGCUGAUGUUCAUGCAAUGUUUUUGCAGCAUGGAGACUGGCAUAACAUCUCUCCCAGGAUUCAUGAAGGGUAGCUCAGCUCAGAGGACUGACCUCCUUAUCCUUUUGCAACAAGAUGGCAAAGCUGGCAUGAAUACCAAUCACCCUCUUUUACGUAGGCAAACAACCCAGAACAACGACUAAAUGAGGAUCUGAGAGAAAGGAACCAUGGGUGCAAUGGAGUAUGAUGGAGGUGAUGGGGAUCACGAUUAGGAUGAUGAGGCUGCCCUCUGGAGGAUUACUGCCAGUUUCAAGGUCUGCGUCUGAGAGACCGACACAGCCACUUGACACAGACAUAAUCCUCAGGUCAAGACUCUUUCUUCAGAAUGUCACAUCUCUUUGUCUCACAUAGAUGCCAACUGACCUAGGGUCAAGGUCAGGGAGAAGGUCAUGGGCAAUGUAAGAGUUGAGCUUUGUUAAUGUGUGGAGAUAUAUGGAUAUUUUAUUGUUGAGCAACUGUUUAGACAUGAUUUUACUGGUAUUAGUAGUCUGGAACAUUUUUCAAAAUGUAUCUAAUUUCUCAGAUAAAAUUUCUGUAGACUUUGAUAUUUCUAUUUUAAACUAAAUAUCAAGAAACUAUAAUGCAGGCACUCAAUUCUCUGCAAUUUGUGCCACUUUAAUUAUCAGAAAGUGAUAAAUCAAUUAUACAAUCAAGUAUGAAAUGGAUAAUUAAAAAAAAAAAAUUCACAUUUACAAAAAAGAUAGAAAUUCAUUAAAAUGAUCAUUAUAGAAAAUAAUAAUAUACCAUAGACUUUCACAAUUUAUGAUAUAGAAUAAAGACAAAAUUAAAAGUUGUUUUUUUAGUUUGUCAUUACCGAGUGGUUGAUAGUUGCAUUUUUUAAUGUGUCUUUUGCUUUAUCUAUGUCCCUAUUAAUGAUUUCCCUCGGAGCGAGACACAAUUGUACAGUGAAGCGGAGAGAUUUAGCUCGAUGAGUAUUGACAUAAACACACGUUUAAUGGCAUACUCAUAAUUAAAUACAUAUGUGAAAUACAUGGGAAUCUCAUAUAAAAUGCUCAUAUCAAGAUUAAAUAAUAUCAUGAGGGUUAAAACCGUUUUUGUGGCAAAAAUCUCAUUGGGAUCCGAUUAUGAAAACAUGUUUUGACUUGGAGUAAACUAGUUGUUAGUGCACGUGAAUGGGAUCUGAUUCUGUAAUAAAUUCACAAACCUGUUCAACUGUUAAUCUUAAUCUCAUAGAUAAGCUCAUUAUUCAUUGUAUUAAUGAGUCACUGUAAAUAAAAGCUGGCAUGAAGUGCUAAAUAUAGCGCUAUAAAUAUAUAUCCAGCCAACACAGUAAGAAUGAUCCGAGCUUUGCUCUGAUCUGACUCAACAAAUAACAAACUCACGUGUGCUGACUUGCAGACAGUUAUUGAUUUUAUAUAUAUAUAUAUAUAUAUCACUCUACGGUUCAAACGUUUUUUUUGUUUUUGAAAAAAGUCUCUUAUGCUCACCAAGUCUGCAUUUAUUUGGUUAAAGAAAUA